UACGUAGGGCGCAAGCGUUGUCCGGAAUUAUUGGGCGUAAAGAGCUCGUAGGCGGUUGGGCAAGUCACGUGUGAAAUCUCCACGCUCAACGUGGAGGCGCCACGUGAGACUGCCCUGACUCGAGUCCGGUAGGGGAGCGUGGAAUUCCCGGUGUAGCGGUGAAAUGCGCAGAGAUCGGGAGGAACACCCGUAGCGAAGGCGGCGCGCUGGGCCGGUACUGACGCUGAGGAGCGAAAGCGUGGGGAGCAAACAGG
rnacentral:rRNA from 1 species